UAAAGUUUUAUUCUUGCUUAUUAUUAAUUAUAAAUAUCUAGUAAAUACACUUUUAUAUAGAUUACUUAUUGUAUUAUUUACAUUUAAUUAAAUAUUAACUAUGUAUUAGUAAUAUAUUUAUAAAAGUGGUUAAAAUUGUGCCAGCAACUGCGGUUAAACAAUUGCUUUAAUUUAAUAUUAUAUAGGUUUUAAUAAUUUGAUUGAUAUUUUUAUAAUAUAUAAUUUAAGGUGAAAUUUAAUUAUAUACUUUAUAAAUAGUUUUAAGUAAUUUAUUAAAUUAAUUAUUAAACUAGGAUUAGAUACCCUAUUAUAUUUAAACUAAUUAAUACCCUAAGGUAGUAAAUGUUUUAAUCAGGAAACUUAAAGAAUUUGGCGGUAUUUAUUCUUACUAGAGGAAUAUGUUUUUUAAUUGAUUCUCCCCAACUAUCUUACUUAAAUUUAUUUUUGUAUACCUCCGUCUAAAAAAAUUUUUUAAAAAUAUGUUUUGUUUUCUAUUUAGAAAUAAGUCAGGUCAAGGUGCAGAUUAUAUUUAAGUUAAAAUGUAUUACAAUAAAUUUAUUUUUGGACUUAAAAUUAAAAAUUUAAUUAAAAUGGAUUUAGUAGUAAAUUUCUUUUUAUUAUAAUUAAUUGAAUAAUGAAAAUAAGUAUGUACAUAUUGCCCGUCGCUUUCUUUCUAAAGAGACAAGUCGUAACAAAGUAGAUUUACUGGAAAGUGAAUCUGUAUUCAG
rnacentral:ncRNA from 1 species